AGAGUGAACGCUGGCGGCAGGCCUAACACAUGCAAGUCGAACGGCAGCACAGAGGAGCUUGCUCCUUGGGUGGCGAGUGGCGGACGGGUGAGGAAUACAUCGGGAUCUGCCUUAUCGUGGGGGAUAACGUAGGGAAACUUACGCUAAUACCGCAUACGACCUACGGGUGAAAGCGGAGGACCUUCGGGCUUCGCGCGAUAAGAUGAGCCGAUGUCGGAUUAGCUAGUUGGCGGGUAAAGGCCCACAAGGCGACGAUCCGUAGCGUGGUCGUGAGAGGAUGAGUCAGCCACACUGGAACUGACGACACGGUCCAGACCUCCGUACGGGAGCAGCAGGUGGGAAUAUGGACAAGUGGGCGAC
rnacentral:rRNA from 1 species